GUUUUAAUAAUUUAACUAAAAAUACUGAUUUUGUAAAUCAGUUAUAAGAUCUAUUCUUUUAAAACA
rnacentral:tRNA from 1 species